rnacentral:rRNA from 1 species
CAGUAGCCACGGUAAUACGUAGGGUGCAAGCGUUAAUCGGAAUUACUGGGCGUAAAGCGUGCGCAGGCGGUUUUGUAAGACAGAGGUGAAAUCCCCGGGCUCAACCUGGGAACUGCCUUUGUGACUGCAAGGCUAGAGUACGGCAGAGGGGGAUGGAAUUCCGCGUGUAGCAGUGAAAUGCGUAGAUAUGCGGAGGAACACCGAUGGCGAAGGCAAUCCCCUGGGCCUGUACUGACGCUGAGGUACGAAAGCAUGGGGAGCAAACAGGAUUAGAUACCCCCGUAGUCCCUGUCUCUUAUAC